UACGAAGGGGGCUAGCGUUGUUCGGAAUCACUGGGCGUAAAGCGCACGCAGGCGGAUUGAUAAGUCGGGGGUGAAAUCCCGGGGCUCAACCUCGGAAUUGCCUUCGAUACUGGCGAUCUCGAGUUCGGGAGAGGUGAGUGGAACUGCGAGUGUAGAGGUGAAAUUCGUAGAUAUUCGCAAGAACACCAGUGGCGAAGGCGGCUCACUGGCCCGAUACUGACGCUGAGGUGCGAAAGCGUGGGGAGCAAACAGG
rnacentral:rRNA from 1 species